CGCUCCCCUGGGGGAGACACGUGCACUCUGGGGAGGCGGAGCUGGGCGGGAGCCUGGCAGCCCAGACUCAGGGGCCGCCUCCCGCGCGCUGGGGGGGAACCUCCACACCCGGCUUGCUGCGGGCCAAACUCCAGAGAUGCUGGGGCGCCGUGGGGGAGGCUGUACUCCCCGGGGUGGUGCGGGGCGCAGCCAGCGCGCACGUGGGACCCCCGCGCAGGGCCCAGAGGGAAGCACCGGCUGCCGCCGGGCGGGUGCUCAGGCCGCCCCGCCGGGCCCCUCCCGCCCCCUUCCCCCGCCCCCCUCCGGACUUCUGGUCCCCACCCCGUACCUGCCGGGGCCCCGCGACGGCCAGCCUCGGUCUUAGGGCCUGUAGAAUGGUCUCACGGCCGCCCUGACCUCGCGGUCAGCCGCGCUGCAGGACGCGGCUCCCACGUCCCCUGCGCGCCCCAGGCAGGGGGGCGGCGGGGCGGGGGAGGUGGACCCCGGGCGGCUCCCGCUCCGCGCCGCUGGGCCCUCCCGGCCGCCCAGGCCGGCGCCCCGCCGGGCCUCCUACCUCGCGGUGCUGGCGGCGCGGCCGGCAGGGGGAGCGAGGCGGAAGGGAGCGGCGGCCGGCCAGGUGAGGGGAAGGCCUCCCGCGGCCGGGCGCGCUCCCUCGGGGGCCGCGGGGUGCGGGGCGCCGGCGGGGGGGGGGGCGCGCUCCUUCCGGCUGCGGGCGGGGCGCGGGGCGCGGGGCGCGGAGCAGGGCGCGGGGCGCGGAGGGACCGAGGCAGGGACCGAGGCUGCUCCCAGGAGGCGCGGCCCGGGGGGCGGUGGAGGCAGAGACUCUGCGGGGCUGGAGGCUCGGGCGGCCUCGCGCUUCGAGCGCCUCGGGCCCCUCCGGCCGCGGGUCCCGGGCACAGAGCAGGGGGCGCGGGUUCUGCGGGCGCGAGGGUGAGGAGCCGCGACGGGUGGAAAGGGAUGGACCCCGCGACGGCGGAGCGCCCGGGUGAGGCCCCCCCCAACUUCUCCCCAGUGCACUUUUUCUCCACCAGGGUUUUUGCCCACCCCACAGGGUCCUCUGCUUCCUCCCAGCCCCGCUCAACAGGUCCCAGUUCCGGCAGGAAGGGGUUAAGGGGGGCUGGGAGGAUCCUGCGCUCCCCUCCACCACCUCAGACUCCGAGGGCCCAGGGCCUCGGGACCGUGCCCCAGAGACCCAUCCAGGAAGCCCCAGGGCUUUUCACUUUCACUUCUCCCUUCUCAAUACUGGUGUGA
rnacentral:lncRNA from 1 species